rnacentral:sRNA from 1 species
UCUCACCUAAUACAAGUUAAACGUAGAAAAAGCCGUGAUUUACAGAAUCCAUUUAAGUGUAUGAACCAUGAUAAAUGAAGGAUAAAUAUGUACAACUAGAUUUUAACCCGCGGUAUACUGCGGGGACAACUUAUUUUUUAAAUUAGUAUAUAUAAAAGUUUACAAAUUAAAUCUAUUUAUUUUUAUUUUAUAGUUUACAAUUGUUAUUAAGUGACGUCCUAUCAAACCCGUCUCGCCAAAUCCGUCCCGUAAAAAAAACCGCGGUACACCGCUAAUUUAAAUAUAUAAUGAAAAUAAAUAUUUUACGGGAUUGCAAUUGUAUUUUGGUUUGUCAAACAAAUAUUUGUUUUAAAUAGUUGUCAAAAUCUAGUUCAAAUUUUGGAGAAAAAAGAUUUAUUGGAUAGAUAAAGAAUGUAUUUAGGUGUGUUUUGUUCAUUUUAAGGGAUUGCAAUUAUAUUUUUGUUUGUCAAACAUUUUUUGUUUUAAAUAGUUGCUGAAUAUAUUUGGAAUAUUUUUAGUUUGUUAAUUAAUUUAUUGAUAGAAAAAAAUCAAUAAUUAAAAGCUAAUGGCAGCCAUUGUAAAUAAGUCUCAACUAUAAGAUUUAUUUCACAAAAUAACUGAAAAAAUGUAUAUAUCUAUUGUAAAUAAGUCUCAACUAUAGGAUUUAUUUCACAAAAUAACUGCAAAAAUGUAUAUAUAGAUUUAAUUUAAAAUGAAAAAGAGAUUGAAUUAGUGUGGAAAAAAAGACAAU